GCCCCCGUCGUCUAAUGGCUAUGACGUCAGACUUCUACACUGACGUGAAUCUGGAGGUUGCGGGUUCGAGUGCCGCCGGGUGUU